CCGAUGCUACCAGAUCCAAUCUCGCACUAUCAACACGCGAUAGGGUGCUCGAGGUCGUUUGCUCCCGUCCCCCAAUCGCUCACGCGCCAGGAGAGGAAGAGAGGGCGGCCACUUGUUCGUUCCUUUCUCUCGGGCGACGACGCGGCCGUGCGGGUUCUUCCGCGCGAGGAGAGCGUUCGCUGCGUCUCGGAUGCUCCGACGCUAUGGAGCUCGUCAACAAGGACACCAUCUCCCUCUCCGUGUUGCUCUAUUCGCCAAGUUCUUUCUGAUGCACGAGAUAAAACCCCUGGAGGAGUUCAAGAACCCUAGAUGCAGCCACGACGGCCUCAACGCCUUCAAAUCAUGGGCUCCAACAGGCGGCUCUUACCUGCACUUGCAUUUCCUUCUGCUUAGAGAUAUAAGUAGCAGAUUUCGCCAGGAAUCGGCUUAGUUGCUCAGUUCUGCUUGAUGUCUAAGUAGCAGGAUUUAUUCGCCCCUCUUUUUAGGAUCUGCUUGCUCUCUUUGUGUGUGCUAUCAACAAUGGGCUGGUUGCUCUUGUCUGAACCUAUCCGGGAGGUUAUUCUGAUUUGAUUUGUCCCAGCUUUAUGCUUAGCAAGAACUCUAGUCUCAAAAUGUCGUUCAUUGUUUGUUUGUUAGGUUGAAAACAACACGUAAUGUGACCACAUUAUAUUACUUAUUUCAGCACUAAAAUUAACUUCAGAUUGUCCCUUUGGCAUUACAUACAUGGUCGCCGACUCGCCGUCAUGUUCUGAUUUUGAAAGUGACAUCUCAAAUACUCUUUUUGAGCAGUUUAUCUCUUCUGCUAGCAAGUAUAAGCUUUAGUAAUAUUCUUUUGGGACCAGUUAUAAUAAUGCCAAUGCUUUAUUUCCGCAACGAUCCUGUCCUAUUGGCUUGGUUUUUGCUGAUGAUAAAUGUAGCAGCACAAUUGGCUAUAAUGUCAGAUCGAAUUUAUAGCAAUCAAGCAAGCCUUCGUGCAGGUGCUGCUGUGCAGUACAUGUUUUUCUAAACACUCCAACUCUGCAGGAUUCCUUUGAGCUUCACCAGCGGGAUUCCUCAAGAGAUGAGGGGGAUGUUGAAAUAGGGAUGCAUCAGCCCGACGCCUCUGAUAAUUUGAAAGGAUUCUUCAAGAAGGUUGAUGGAAUUGAGAGCCUAAUAGCUAAUUCGACGAGUCUCUUGACUAAGCUCCAGACUGCAAACGAGGAAUCAAAAGCAGUUACAAAAGCAAGCGCCAUGAAAGAUUCGAGAGAGGGAAGUGAAGGGUGCAGAAUCAGAGAGAAAGUGGGUGCUGCUUAUCUGCUUACAUGGGAGGCAACCAUCUCAUGUAAUCAGUGAAUAUAGAAGUUCUCCUGGUGUUAUUCAAAUAUAUAAAUCAUCGAAGUGUGGCUGGAUGACCGAGGCUACUAUUCUGCCUUGAUGUGCACACAAAGAGUUCCUGGACCUGACUUGAAGCAAGGAUACCUGCGGCUGCAAGCGAACAAUAUCUGAAGACAGGUGCUGCUUGUCUAUGUUCUCAGCAUAGCUAUAGGCUGCCAUGUCUUUUCCACUUUCCUUUUUGCUUUCUGUAAUGCUAACUUGACGGUCAGCCUAUAGUUAUGCGAAGAACAUCGGCGAGCAGCACCUAUCUUCAGACAUACACUGCCAUGUCUUGUUCCAUUAAUCACCUGGUGGUCCUGUUAGUGACAUUCAUCUAGUAUUUUAUUUUGCAAAGCAUGCAAUGUUUUUGAGUACUUGAUCAUGGCCUGAUGGAACCUACAUGUCGUUACUACAGCAGCUAGAAGCAAUCUAUUUUAUUAAAAGCAUUAUAGUUAGCAUUUGGUCAUGGCAUCACUUUGCUGUUCUGUUUGUUUUAAAUCUGGUUGCAAGUUUACUAUUUUUCCAUAACCAUUAUCUUACAUUUUUGGCAUUGAGCAUUGGUGGAUCUCAACAGCUAUAUGAUGAAUACACAUCAUGAUAUAUACUUGAUGAAUCUGCCUGCUAGUGCUACAUCUAAACUUGUGUAUCUGUUUUGGUAUCUCUUCCACUGUGUAUAUGUUUUCUUGUAUGAGUGGGUAUCUCAUUUUAACUAGUUGGAGAACAAAAAGCAUGGUACUAGAUAGCUCAAUUUGUGUUAUCAUUCAUCUGUUGUAACACCAAGUUUGGUCUAGUAACAUGGCAUUGAUUUUGUGCUGCAGAUUUGGAAGCUGGGAAUCUGGGGAAUGCGAAGUUGAAGAGACCAGGAGUAUCUAGACUGUGAUUGCCAUUAUAUAUGUGUUAUAUGAUGAUGUAACACAAUGAUUCUGCUAUUGUAUCUUUGUUGUAUGAUGUAUCAAACUGAUUCUGGCUGUUAUGUGAA